rnacentral:rRNA from 1 species
AUUGAACGCUGGCGGCAUGCUUUACACAUGCAAGUCGAACGGUAACAGGGAGCUUGCUCCGCUGACGAGUGGCGAACGGGUGAGUAAUGCAUCGGAACAUGCCCAGUCAUGGGGGGUAACUACGCGAAAGCGUAGCUAAUACCGCAUACGCCCUGAGGGGGAAAGUGGGGGAUCUUAGGACCUCACGUGAUUGGAGUGGCCGAUGUCAGAUUAGCUAGUUGGUGAGGUAAAGGCUCACCAAGGCGACGAUCUGUAGCGGGUCUGAGAGGAUGAUCCGCCACACUGGGAUUGAGACACGGCCCAGACUCCUACGGGAGGCAGCAGUGGGGAAUUUUGGACAAUGGGCGCAAGCCUGAUCCAGCCAUGCCGCGUGAGUGAAGAAGGCCUCGG